AUGAACGCUGGCGGCGUGCCUAAUACAUGCAAGUCGAGCGAACAGACGCGGAGCUUGCUCCUCUGACGUUAGCGGCGGACGGGUGAGUAACACGUGGAUAACCUACCUAUAAGACUGGGAUAACUUCGGGAAACCGGAGCUAAUACCGGAUAAUAUAUUGAACCGCAUGGUUCAAUAGUGAAAGCCGGUUUUGCUGUCACUUAUAUAUGGAUCCGCGCCGCAUUAGCUAGUUGGUAAGGUAACGGCUUACCAAGGCGACGAUGCGUAGCCGACCUGAGAGGAUGAUAGGCCACAAUGGAAAUGAGACACGGUCCAGACUACUACGAGAGGAAGCAGUAGGGAAUCUUCAGCAAUGGGGGAAAGCCUGACAGAGUAACGACGCGUGAGUGAAGAAGGUCUAGGGAUCGGAAAAAACUGUGAUUAGGGAAGAACAAAUGUGUAAGUAACAAUGGACGUCUUAACGGUACCUAAGCAGAAAGACACGGCUAACUAAGUG
rnacentral:rRNA from 1 species